rnacentral:rRNA from 1 species
CAUAGCGACUAUCGUGGCAUAUCAAUAAGCGGAGGAAAAGAAACUAACAAGGAUUCCCUUAGUAACGGCGAGUGAAGCGGGAAGAGCUCAAAUUUGAAAUCUUCAAGGUUCUACCUUGACGAAUUGUAGUUUAUAGAAGUGUUUUCUGUUAGUAGAGUGGCAAAAGUUCUUUGGAAUAGGACAUCAUAGAGGGUGAGAAUCCCGUAUUUGACUAUUCUUUCUAGCUUUGUGAUACACUUUCAAAGAGUCGGAUUGUUUGGGAAUGCAGUCCAAAAUGGGUGGUAAAUUUCAUCUAAAGCUAAAUAUUGGCGAGAGACCGAUAGCGAACAAGUACCGUGAGGGAAAGAUGAAAAGAACUUUGAAAAGAGAGUUAAACAGUACGUGAAAUUGUCAAAAGGGAAGCGUUUGACACCAGUGUUGUUUUUCCGAAAAUCAAUUACGAAUGUUUUGUUUUUGAGGAGUUAUGACUUCAUCGGCUUGCUCCUUUCUUUACGAAACUUUCUUAAUGCACUUUUCGGUUAACAAGUCAACAUCAAUUUCUUUUGUUGUAAAAGGGUAUGAGGAAGGUGGCUUUCUUUUCGGAGAAAGUGUUUAUAGCCUUUGACUUCUGCAAUCGGAGAGAUUGAGGUCUGCAGCGUAGAUCCUUCGGGGUUAGAUACAUUUGUGCUAAGCUAUAGCCUUUUCAUAGACAACAUUGUUGACUAUGAUCAGUCAUGUAGCUUACUCGCUUAUGUCAUUUUACCUACGCUUAGGAUGUUGAUAGUCACAGCGUGUAC